AACGAGAAAGUGGAGCAAUCCAUGAGUAAAGUGGCGUACGGGUGAGUAACACGUGGAUAAUCUGCCCUUUAGUGGGGAAUACCGAUGGGAAACCGUCGACAAUACCGCAUAAGCUCGAGAGAGGAAAGCAGCAAUGCGCUGAAGGAGGAGUCCGCGGUCGAUUAGCUAGUUGGUGAGGUAAUGGCUCACCAAGGCUGUGAUCGAUAGCCGGCCUGAGAGGGCACACGGCCACACUGGCACUGAAACACGGGCCAGACUCCUACGGGAGGCAGCAGUGGGGAAUCUUGCACAAUGGGGGCAACCCUGAUGCAGCGACGCCGCGUGAGCGAUGAAGCCCUUCGGGGUGUAAAGCUCUUUCGGCAGGGAAGAUUAUGACGGUACCUGCAGAAGCAGCUGCGGCUAACUACGUGCCAGCAGCCGCGGUAAUACGUAGGCAGCAAGCGUUGUUCGGAGUUACUGGGCGUAAAGGGUGCGUAGGCGGUCCUGUAAGUAUGGCGUGAAAUCUCCCGGCUUAACUGGGAGGGUGCGCUAUAGACUGCGGGACUAGAGGGUGGGAGAGGAAAGUGGAAUUCCUGGUGUAGCGGUGAAAUGCGUAGAUAUCAGGAGGAACACCGGUGGUGUAAACGGCUUUCUGGACCAUUUCUGACGCUGAGGCACGAAAGCGUGGGUAGCAAACAGGAUUAGAUACCCUGGUAGUCCUAGCCCUAAACGAUG
rnacentral:rRNA from 1 species